CGCCUCCUGCCCAUAUUGACCUAUAGGAGGUCCCGCCUGCCCUGUGACCAAAAGUUUAACGGCCGCGGUAUCCUAACCGUGCAAAGGUAGCGCAAUCAAUUGUCUUUUAAAUGGAGACCUGUAUGAAUGGCAUAACGAGGGUCUAACUGUCUCUUUUUUCCAGUCAAUGAAACUGAUCUGCCCGUGCAGAAGCGGGCAUGAGUGCACAAGACGAGAAGACCCUAUGGAGCUUUAGACGCCCACCAGCCAUUGGAAGCAGCCCCACUAAUAGACCUCCAAAUAAGAUGGCCCUGGUAUAAACGUCUUCGGUUGGGGCGACCACGGAGGAAAAUAAAGCCUCCGAGAGGAACAGGGGAAACCCUAAACCAAGAGCCACAGCUCUAAGCAACAGAAUAUUUGACCGAAAUGAUCCGGCCUAUUGCCGACCAGCGGACCGAGUUACCCUAGGGAUAACAGCGCAAUCCUCUCCCAGAGUCCAUAUCGACGAGAGGGUUUACGACCUCGAUGUUGGAUCAGGACAUCCUAAUGGUGCAGCCGCUAUUAAGGGUUCGUUUGUUCAACGAUUAAAGUCCU
rnacentral:rRNA from 1 species